rnacentral:rRNA from 1 species
GACAGAGGUCCCGAGCGUUAGGCGGAAUCACUGGGCUUAAAGCGUGUGUAGGUGGAUGCCUAAGUACCUUGUGAAAUCCCACGGCUUUAACCGUGGAAUUGCUUGGUAUACUGGGUGUCUUGAGCCACUUAGGGGCAACCGGAACAAAUGGUGGAGCGGUGAAAUGCGUAGAUAUCAUUUGGAACGCCAAUGGUGAAAACAGGUUGCUGGGAGUGUGCUGACACUGAGACACGAAAGCCAGGGGAGCAAACGGG